UCUCUGGAUGAGCAAAAGAAGUGAUUUCCUGAGAUGGAAUCUACUCCUGGAGAAGAUGCUGUGAA
rnacentral:pre_miRNA from 1 species